UACGUAGGGUGCAAGCGUUGUCCGGAAUUAUUGGGCGUAAAGAGCUCGUAGGCGGCUUGUCGCGUCGGCUGUGAAAACCUGGGGCUCAACCCCGGGCCUGCAGCCGAUACGGGCAAGUUAGAAUUCGGUAGGGGAGACUGGAAUUCCUGGUGAUAGCGGUGAAAUGCGCAGAUAUCAGGAGGAACACCGGUGGCGAAGGCGGGUCUCUGGGCCGAAAUUGACGCUGAGGAGCGAAAGCGUGGGGAGCGAACAGG
rnacentral:rRNA from 1 species